CGGGAAUGGUAUCGGAGUACUGGGCGUAAGCGUGCGCAGGCGGUUUUGUAAGUCUGUCGUGAAAGCCCCGGGCUCAACCUGGGAAUUGCGAUGGAGACUGCAAGGCUUGAAUCUGGCAGAGGGGGGUAGAAUUCCACGUGUAGCAGUGAAAUGCGUAGAGAUGUGGAGGAACACCGAUGGCGAAGGCAGCCCCCUGGGUCAAGAUUGACGCUCAUGCACGAAAGCGUGGGGAGCAAACAGGAUUAGAUACCCUGGUAGUCCACGCCCUAAACGAUGUCUACUAGUUGUCGGGUUUUAAUUAACUUGGUAACGCAGCUAACGCGUGAAGUAGACCGCCUGGGGAGUACGGUCGCAAGAUUAAAACUCAAAGGAAUUGACGGGGACCCGCACAAGCGGUGGAUGAUGUGGAUUAAUUCGAUGCAACGCGAAAAACCUUACCUACCCUUGACAUGUCAGGAACCCCCGAGAGAUCGGGGGGUGCCCGAAAGGGAACCUGAACACAGGUGCUGCAUGGCUGUCGUCAGCUCGUGUCGUGAGAUGUUGGGUUAAGUCCCGCAACGAGCGCAACCCUUGUCAUUAGUUGCUACAUUCAGUUGAGCACUCUAAUGAGACUGCCGGUGACAAACCGGAGGAAGGUGGGGAUGACGUCAAGUCCUCAUGGCCCUUAUGGGUAGGGCUUCACACGUCAUACAAUGGUACAUACAGAGGGCCGCCAACCCGCGAGGGGGAGCUAAUCCCAGAAAGUGUAUCGUAGUCCGGAUCGUAGUCUGCAACUCGACUACGUGAAGUUGGAAUCGCUAGUAAUCGCGGAUCAGCAUGUCGCGGUGAAUACGUUCCCGGGUCUUGUACACACCGCCCGUCACACCAUGGGAGCGGGUUUUACCAGAAGUAGGUAGCUUAACCGUAAGGAGGGCGCUUACCACGGUAGGAUUCGUGACUGGGGUG
rnacentral:rRNA from 1 species